rnacentral:rRNA from 1 species
GAUGAACGCUGGCGGCGUGCCUAAUACAUGCAAGUCGAACGAAGAAGCGAGGAUCUUGCUCGGCGGACGAGAGCGGCACAGGUGAGUAAAACGCGAGUAACACCUACCUAUAAGACGGGUAACGCUUGGGAAAGGGUGAUCUAAUAGCAGAUAAUCUAGUGAACGCAAGGGGGCAGGAGUAAAGGGCGGUUUUGCUGGCGGUUGGACAUGCAGCCGAGCCGCAUGAGCGAGUUGUGAAGGUAACGGCUUACCAAGACAGCGAUGCGUAGCCGACCUGAGAGGGUGAGCGGCCACACUGGAACUGAGACACGGUGCAGACUCCUAGGGGCGGAAGCAGUAGGGAAUCUUCCGCAAUGGGCGAAUGCCUGCCGGAGCAACGCCGCGUGAGUGAUGAAGGUCUUGGGAUCUUAAAACUGUGUUAUUCGGGAAGAAAAAAUGUGUACGUAACUAUGCUCGUCUUGACGGUAGCUAGUAAGAAAGCCACGGCUAACUACGUG